UGGAGGACUAUAUAAAAAUGUGAGCCAAGAGUGAAUACUACAAGUAGACACGAGUCACGAGGCCAGCCUUUUGUGGCUCUAGCUAUGGGUCCCAAAUUUGCCCCCAUUCAAUUCAAUGAGAUUUCAGUGAUUCUUCUUCGGUGAGCAAUUCAGCCCUUGUAUAUUAAUUUAUGCAACCCGCAAUCGUUUUUGCUUCAAUGGCCCUUCCGUUUCUAGCAAUCAAUCAUCAGACAAAUCAUUGAUUCAGAUCCGAAAUUGGAAUCAAAAGCAACAUCCAGAACUGAAUCUGGAUGGUGAUUUGUUAGUGAACAGAGAUGGUGUUAGAAUUGUUUCUCAAAGCCGCCAAUCUGAUACUGUGAGUUGUUUUUGUUUUCUGUUAUGAAUCUGGGUUGAUGGAUGAUUUCACCUUUUAGGGUUAUUCUGUGUUUGAUCCAUUGUCUUAGAAAUUUGUUUCUUGAUAGGGGUAGUUUGGGGUUUAAGCGAAGCUAAAUUCUGUCCUGUGAAAAGUUUUCCUCACAGAAUAAAGAGUUUGGCUGGCUCAUUAUAUGUUGUAUGCUUUUUUUUUUUUUUAUGUAUACACUAAACGCUCUGUUACUUAAAAGGGUAGCAGACUAGAGUAAAAGUAAUGAACAAAUCUUAAAAUAAGAUCGUUGGUGGCGACUGUUGCGGUUGGACUCGGCAUACCGAUUUUCUACGGAACGCAGAUUAAUAGUGUUGUAUGUUGUUGUUGUUUUAACUUUCUUCUUCUUCUUCUUCUUCUUCUUCAGUUUUCCCUAAUUGUGCCUGCUUUGAUUACUUAAUGAAAAUGUACCAUAACUAUUGUAGUGGGUGAGAAGCCUAAAUAUUAUUAUUAGAAUUACAAAACUAUGUAUGGGUGUGUGUUGAAACUGUAUAAAACUUCAUCGUCUUCUUCGUUCAAGCAGCCCGUACCUCAAUCGUCCACAUCUGCAUCAUCGACAUUUUACGGAGGCUCCGAAAACAGUUACGGUUCCAGAUCUGAUAAUUUUAACCUCACUACGUCCGAUUCAAUGUAUUCUCGAGGCGGUUACGGAACGCUUUCGCCUGUAGGUUAUCCGUCUGCUGAUGCUUGUAAGUGAUUCAUAUCAUAACAUAAAACUAACGGAAAUUGUCUAUGGACUUUGUGAGCAACCUCAUUUACUUGUAGCAAAGCAAUGGAGUUACUUAUUCAGUGGACGAUUCUCAUGAUGGAAGGAGGGGUGUCACAUCUUCUGUUGGUUGACUCAUCUAUGCGUGGCAACACCAUCUGAAUGGAGGAAAACGCUGUCAAAUCCUGAUAAAGAUGUCAUUCUGUUGGAUGUGAGAAAUGGUAUUUCCUCCUUGUUUACUGAGUCAGGGGUGAUUAGGUAAUUUUACAUUUAUCUCAUUUUUUUUUGCUGGCAUGGAGCUCAAAGACCAAACGUUGACUGGUUUAGUUUAGGAGCACAACUUUUGGGUUAUCUAUCAGUAGAGCUCAAGACAAGUUGACUCCUUUUGGUAAAAUGCAAGCUUAUGUUAACCUUGAAGAUUCUAUGGCCUUACUAGGUUAUGAGGAACCAGAACAAUUAGUUUGGAGUAUUGGCAAACAGAGUGUAGAUCUAUAAACACUAACUGUAUUUUUAUUUAUUUAUUUAUUGUUUAUUAAUAUAAAUUCUUUCAAAAAAAAGUGUUCUGUUUUUAUUACAUUCAAAAUACGAAAUUUUAUAAAAUUCCUAGUAUGUCGUUACGACGUGGUUAUUUUUACUAAAAA